rnacentral:rRNA from 1 species
GAUGAACGCUGGCGGCGUGCCUAAUACAUGCAAGUCGAGCGAACGGACGAGAAGCUUGCUUCUCUGAUGUUAGCGGCGGACGGGUGAGUAACACGUGGAUAACCUACCUAUAAGACUGGGAUAACUUCGGGAAACCGGAGCUAAUACCGGAUAAUAUUUUGAACCGCAUGGUUCAAAAGUGAAAGACGGUCUUGCUGUCACUUAUAGAUGGAUCCGCGCUGCAUUAGCUAGUUGGUAAGGUGACGGCUUACCAAGGCAACGAUGCAUAGCCGACCUGAGAGGGUGGUCGGCCACACUGGAACUGAGACACGGUCCAGACUCCUACGGGAGGCAGCAGUAGGGAAUCUUCCGCAAGGGGCGAAAGCCUGACGGAGCAACGCCGCGUGAGGGAUGAAGGUCUUCGGAUCGUAAAACUCUGUUAUUAGGGAAGAACAUAUGUGUAAGUAACUGUGCACAUCUUGACGGUACCUAAUCAGAAAGCCACGGCUAACUACGUGC